UUGAACUCUGCGAAGGGAAGGAAGGCAGAGGGCUGAAGUGAGCCAGCCUCGCAUCUACCACCCUCCCACCCCCGGUGGAACCAAACGUCAGACAGCCGGACAGCCUGCCCGCCCCCACUCACCAGCGAUCAUCUCCUCGCUGAGGUAGGACCGGGCCUCCGCCUGCUGGUCCGUCUGCAGGAGACACGGAGUCAGAGGUGCAGUCUUGCCUUAACCCGGUCCCCCUCGACCCCCACCUCUGUUGGAGCCCCCUCGGUCCUCCAGGAGAACAGCUCCAAACCUGCCACCCCUCCUGCCGCUCCCACAGCCCCAGCCGUUUUGGAGAGCUAGAGAGGGCACAGACUAUGCCCAAGGCUUUCUCACUUGUGAGCCGGAGGUCAAGUCAGCAACCCCCCAGUCACCUUGGGCAAGUUACCUAAUGUCCCCUCGUCCCCUCACCUCUUCUCUAAAGCUUUUCAGGGAUGAAAUGGAAUCAGGGCUGUGAAAGGACCUUUUAAAAUGGACACAAUUCCAGCAAGAUGUUCCCAUUUUCCCAGCUCCUAACAGUGCCUAGUAUUUGAAUAGGUGCUCAAUAAAUGUUCUCAAGUCCGUAACGCAGCACCAAGUUAUCCAGCACCCACUAAGCGUCAAGCCCAUACACCAGGCACUGGGACCACCAAGCAGAGUCAGACACAUCAAUCCUCCCCUCCGGGAACUUGCAGAGAAGGAGAUUUUAAGUGUCCUCCGUAUGAUGCAGUCACAGAAGAAUCAAUGAAAAAAUAUCCUUGGUUGAGGAUUAACAACAAAAAAGGCCCCGCCCAUGUGUCUCAGUAGGGAGAGAAACCAAGAUGGCGGCAUAGGUAAACACCGGAAAUUGCUGCCUCCCACAACAACUUC